AUCAUUUCAUUCCCCAGCUUGUACUGAUUGGAUGGUUGCUGCAACUCAGAUCUUGGUCAGCAGUAACAGGUUGCAGGGAGGUUCUUCAGAAAGUGGUUUUCUGUUUGUUGCUUUUAAAUUUAUUUGUUUUUAAUUAUUUUUAAUUCAGUACAUGUUGAUAUUGCCUUUACCUUAUGGUGUAACUCAAGGUGAAAAAAAAAUUCCAUUUUUUACACUGGGAACAAGCACUAGGAAACAAUUUAAUUGAAUUACUUCUUAAAGCUGGAAAUGUUUUUCUGUUCACACAGCCCCUGGCAGGCAAGGUAGUUUUGCUUUCUUUUAUUUCCAGUAUCCAACCCGUUUUGUUCCACUUUUCUGAAAGGGAAAGCCCACCUUUUUCUGCAUCUUUAUUCACGUUCUUAAGCGAAUUAGCUGAUCCCCAGUGUGUGAGACACAUGCCAGCUCCCCAUGGGUUUCCUGGGCUGGGUUUGCCCAGUGUUGGUGUCCUUCUGCUAAGGAAGCAGGCAGUGUGAGGUGGGAUGCAGGGCUGUGCCUGGAGCUCAUGGCAUUGUUAAUUAAACCUGCAGCCAGCUGGUGGCAGCCAGAGCAGAAAGCAGAGCUCCUUAUUUGAUAUGACACUUGUUGUACGAGGGACUGCUCUUCUGAAAGGUCCCAGCUGGUCCCUGAAGGCCUUAAGUCACUCGUGCAGUCAGGAAGCAAUGCUCAAGGCCUCUGUGCUGCUGCAUCACCUCCUGCAGGGCUCAGUGCCCAGCUGCGUGGUGCCUUCCUUCUGACAUGGCCUUCAGGUUUGUUGCGUCAGCAUUCCUUCCCAGCAGCAUGCUUUGCUGCCACUGUUUCUGUAAAUAAUUUCAAUUGGAAUCUGGACAUUACAUCUGAUGCAUUUGGAUCAGGCUUUGUUUCCCCUGUAUAAAAUCUCUGUAGUAAUUAAAACUAGUAAUAAAACCUUGUGAUGAAGUUUAGUUUCCCUAGAAGAUGCCAGCAGGGCAUCACAAGGCAGCUUGUGCCUUGUGGCUGAGCCAACCUUUGGCUGGGAUAAAAGGGAUCUCAUCAGCAGGGCAGAGUGUGGGACCACACCAAAGGCUUCAGAAGCUACCAAAAGAGGAAUCUAUGCCCUCCUGGUCAGUAGAAGAUUUCUCUAAUGUAGAAAACAUGAAAAGUACAUGGAGAGUAAAUCAUCCAAGGACAUUCCUUCAAGAUGCUGCUGGAGUGCCAGCUUGACUUUCUUCCUAGCAGAUGACGUAUGAUAGGGACAGGGUAGGUCUGGUUGCUUAUUUUCUAUUCAAGAGUGGUGUCCUAAUAUUGAUGCCCUUCUAGGUCUGCAAAAAAUCAGGAUCCACUUUCCUCAGUGGUUUGUUUACAUAAGGCUGGCAGAAGUAAGGGUGAAACUCAGGUUUGGUCUGCUUUUGGGUGGGUGCCCAGAACUGCUGUGAGCUCAGAGCAACAGGCACCCUGUGUGGCACCCUUGAGAAUAGUGCACUUUAUUUAUGUAUUUACUUAGAUGGUGACACAAAAGGAGUGAAGUAGGUACAUUAUGUUUGGUGUACACAUAUUGCUGCGCAAAAGGUAAUUAGAGCUUCUGGGCAGCAAGACCAACUGCAGUGGGACUGUGUGAGAGCUCCCAUAGACUCAUGUCCUCUUUCUUACAGUUGCACAAAACAGCUGCUGGCAGAUAAACUCAGGACCAGGUCAAGCGUAGAGCAAUCACCCUGUGUCCCUCUCCACACCCAGCAGAGAGUGGUUCGGGGAUGUACUGAGCCAGAGGCAACAAUAUGAGCCCUGUGUUUCAAGCAAAAAUCCAAAACACAUGUUAGCAAUCAUCUCAGAUAGCUAAAUUUUCAAAACAAAUUCAAAAUUAGGUUUGGUUCUCAUAACUGAAGUGUUACGUCUCUCCUCACUGUAUGGUCCCGCUGAGAAGGUGGAGCUGAGCAGCUUCCAUCCAGGCCAGUGGGGUACCUGCAUUGUGCUCCCACCUGGAGCUCAAAUGGGGCACCUAGAAGGACAGGACAAACUACCAGUGGAUGGUGGCAGUCAGGAUUUCAGUCCUUUUAUGAUGAGCAACCUUUUUCUUGACUUUAAAAAUCUGUUGGAAAGGCUGGAGUAGGUCCUGAGUGCUGGAAUGAUUUGGCAUGAACAGUAUGUGUAUUAGGUGGCCUUUUCUCUUGACCUUUUGAUCAGGGUUAAGUGCAAUAUCUAUUUAUACCCCUGCUGUUGAGGCAUCUUACCCUGCUCUUGCAGGAAUGGCGGCUGCCAAGCUGAGUAGACCCAGAAUGGCUGAAUGCAGAAAAUAAACAAAACUGCAGUCUUCUUGUUUCUCUGCUG
rnacentral:lncRNA from 1 species